UACAGAGACUGCAAGCGUUAUUCGGAUUCACUGGGCGUAAAGGGUGCGCAGGCGGCCAAGUGUGUGAGGCGUGAAAGCCCGAUGCUCAACAUCGGAAUUGCACCUCAAACUACAUGGCUAGAGCAUUGGAGAGGGUAGCGGAAUUCACGGUGUAGCAGUGAAAUGCGUAGAUAUCGUGAGGAACACCAGUGGCGAAGGCGGCUAUCUGGACGGUUUCUGACACUAAGACUCGAAAGCGUGGGGAGCAAACAGG
rnacentral:rRNA from 1 species